GACGAAAACCUGUACGGAAAGCGCUCGUGAACUUCUAUCCCAUAGUUUUCAUUCGAAAGAGCGAGGCCCGCACCCUGGAAGCUUCCAAUAACGAGCAGACACACCCCGGUGCAGCCCUCAGUUUGCGUCAGUGCUAACCUACGAGACAGAACAGUACAAAUGUGUAAGAUAUAAAGCAAAGUCGGGGAAUGUGAUCAAUAGUGAUCUGGAAACGGUUCAAUUAAAUCGGCGACACCCUGGGCGAAACGCUCAAGUCCGGAAGGCAGGCGUCGGUCGCAGCCGGAAAGGCAUGCGGGAUUGCCAAACUGCGUGGGAAUCACGUCGUGAAAUUUAAUAUAAACACUGUAAAUAUCACUCAGAAAGUAAGACGAGCCUGUGGAUGCGACUCGAAACCUACCACAGUCAGCAGGAUAAUGCGAAGGCCCAUUAGUGGCCUUUGUUCGGCGUCAGCGAGUCUGUGUACUCACCUACUUGCAAGACGUUAUCGACACAACCGGCCUCGUAGAGCUUCAAACCUCGGUAAAAUGGAAGCUUUUGGUAAUCACCACAAUUGUUUGAGUCACUUGAUAACGAAGAGUACAUGCAAAUAUCCCUUUCAUUCCUCGGGAACGACCAAUAAAUAAUCCUCCGUUGCACUGG